rnacentral:lncRNA from 1 species
UGACCUCCAAAUUUAUUCUAAUAUUAAAACCAAAUUUCGGAGUUCUGCCUUCACGAUUCUUUGUCUAGUGGUCAUCUCUUUGUUGUUGAGGUCCCUCCCAUCUUAAAUUAGCAUAUCCUACUUCAAUUGUUACGAAGUAAAAGAUGCAAUAGAAGCGAACCUAAGUUGGAUAUUGCAUUUAUUAGGUUACAUAAAUACCGCAGCCGUCUUUGGUAUUUCUCGCAUGCGAUGCACUUGCCAAACUCUUAUAAGCUAGAAACUUAAUCUUAAAUAUGGAAAUUUUACCUUAUAUAAAAUGCAACCAGCCUACUAAACCUAUUAAACAGGUCAAGACUGGUAAACUAGGACAACAUUCUAGGUCACCUCAUUACAACAAGAGCUCGACCCAUCCCACUCUAAUUCUACAGUAAUGAGCCAUUAGACCUUAAUAUCAAAGGUCUUGAUCCAGAUUCUAUGCUCAAUUUUAACAAAACAUGAGCCAAAUGUCUGCCGCCCCACCUAUUAUUUGAGUCCAUAAUUCAGGAUGUGGUUUCCAAUUGGAUCCACCUAGACAUGAAACCUACAGCCCGAUAUCUCAAUCGGGUGACCAGGGGCCGUCCUCGGCCGAACUCCAUGCUCCUAGAAUCUAGCUUAGAUUCUCAG